UUUGAUCCUGGCUCAGAUUGAACGCUGGCGGCAGGCCUAACACAUGCAAGUCGGACGGUAGCACAGAGGAGCUUGCUCCUCGGGUGACGAGUGGCGGACGGGUGAGUAAUGUCUGGGAAACUGCCCGAUGGGGGGGGAUAACUACUGGAAACGGUAGCUAAUACCGCAUAACGUCGCAAGACCAAAGUGGGGGACCUUCGGGCCUCACACCAUCGGAUGUGCCCAGAUGGGAUUAGCUUGUAGGCGGGGUAACGGCCCACCUAGGCGACGAUCCCUAGCUGGUCUGAGAGGAUGACCAGCCACACUGGAACUGAGACACGGUCCAGACUCCUACGGGAGGCAGCAGUGGGGAAUAUUGCACAAUGGGCGCAAGCCUGAUGCAGCCAUGCCGCGUGUAUGAAGAAGGCCUUCGGGUUGUAAAGUACUUUCAGCGGGGAGGAAGGUGGUGAGGUUAAUAACCUCAGCAAUUGACGUUACCCGCAGAAGAAGCACCGGCUAACUCCGUGCCAGCAGCCGCGGUAAUACGGAGGGUGCAAGCGUUAAUCGGAAUUACUGGGCGUAAAGCGCACGCAGGCGGUCUGUUAAGUCAGAUGUGAAAUCCCCGGGCUUAACCUGGGAACUGCAUUUGAAACUGGCAGGCUUGAGUCUCGUAGAGGGGGGUAGAAUUCCAGGUGUAGCGGUGAAAUGCGUAGAGAUCUGGAGGAAUACCGGUGGCGAAGGCGGCCCCUGGACGAAGACUGACGCUCAGGUGCGAAAGCGUGGAGAGCAAACAGGAUUAGAUACCCUGGUAGUCCACGCCGUAAACGAUGUCGACUUGGAGGUUGUUCCCUUGAGGAGUGGCUUCCGGAGCUAACGCGUUAAGUCGACCGCCUGGGGAGUACGGCCGCAAGGUUAAAACUCAAAUGAAUUGACGGGGGCCCGCACAAGCGGUGGAGCAUGUGGUUUAAUUCGAUGCAACGCGAAGAACCUUACCUACUCUUGACAUCCAGCGAACUCGGCAGAGAUGCCUUGGUGCCUUCGGGAACGCUGAGACAGGUGCUGCAUGGCUGUCGUCAGCUCGUGUUGUGAAAUGUUGGGUUAAGUCCCGCAACGAGCGCAACCCUUAUCCUUUGUUGCCAGCGAUUCGGUCGGGAACUCAAAGGAGACUGCCGGCGAUAAACCGGAGGAAGGUGGGGAUGACGUCAAGUCAUCAUGGCCCUUACGAGUAGGGCUACACACGUGCUACAAUGGCGCAUACAAAGAGAAGCGACCUCGCGAGAGCAAGCGGACCUCAUAAAGUGCGUCGUAGUCCGGAUCGGAGUCUGCAACUCGACUCCGUGAAGUCGGAAUCGCUAGUAAUCGUGGAUCAGAAUGCCACGGUGAAUACGUUCCCGGGCCUUGUACUCACCGC
rnacentral:rRNA from 1 species